UGUGCGUGCGUACGAGCGUGCGUGUGUGUGUAUGAUUUUUGCUUUAGUCGGCUCAGUGCCUCGGGUUUUCUAACGUCACCAUGUAUCAUCCCAACCAGACGGGCAUCCGUCAGAGUUCAAACUUCUGCGUCUUGAUCUAACUUUAAACCUUACACAAAUAUAUGCUGAAGUCAUCUUCGUUCCAUAGUUGCACUCAUACAGAUCACAAUGUACGAUAUUCAAAAUUCAGAUAAUUCAUGCUCAUGCCUGCGCUACUGUAAGAGUUGGGUCGAGUCAGAAAAAUAAAUUAUGUCAUGCUUUUACGCAUUGUUACCGGCAGUAUUUGCUCUGCGUCGCUCGAUUACGUCUAACUGCGUCGCUAUCGAAACGGGGCAGCUGAGAAUGAUAUGUUACGCAGUAAAUGAUACGCUGUGGCUUAACGAUUUUUCAGAUAGCACGAAUGCCAGCAAUCGUGCAAAGUAGGAGUCCAAAGGGGGACAUGGUUGGUGUGGUUGGGUGAAAGCAACGUGUUAUUGUGGUUAAAAAAGAUGAAUCAGUAUACAUGUGAUAUAACUGUCAAAGCCGGAAUGUUGAAAGCAUACAUCCCGCCCAAGGCAUGCUGGGAGGAUCUCCUAUCAGGCAGCUUGGAAACUUCCAGACGCCGAUAUGCCUUACGUUUGGUGCAGCCGAGGUUAUGAACUUUCAAGUGGAAUAUGCCCCUUGAGGAAAACAAUUAGGGACGAGUAUAUUCAAGCUCCACGUGAAAUGCCAAGUAUGGUCACUGAAAAAUGUAAAUUGUAAUAUUUCUGUUUCUAAUCACCUGCUGUCGUGUUUCUGCUACUAAACUGUCACGUACAUUUUUGUACUGCUGA